UACGAAGGGGGCUAGCGUUGCUCGGAAUCACUGGGCGUAAAGCGCGCGCAGGCGGUCAUUUACGUCUGGGGUGAAAGCCCGGAGCUCAACUCCGGGAUUGCCUUGGAUACGGGAUGACUUGAGGAUCGGAGAGGCAAGGGGAAUUCCACGUGUAGCGGUGAAAUGCGUAGAGAUGUGGAGGAACACCUGUGGCGAAGGCGCCUUGCUGGCCGAUUUCUGACGCUGAGGCGCGAAAGCGUGGGGAGCAAACAGG
rnacentral:rRNA from 1 species